CAGUCUUGCCCUUUAUCCAUCUCUGGUUAACAUCAACUCAUAGACUCUCUAUACUAGUCCCUUUAUUUCUUAUGGAAGGGAGAAAAAGACAGUUGAGUGCAGUAGUUACAAGUCUGGACUUUGAAACCACCAAAUCCGCUAGGUUUAAGACUGGCUUCAUUGCUUCUCUGACGGUUCUGUCCAAUAGAACUUGCUACAAUGAUAGAGACAUUCUGUUCUACACUCCCUAAUACAGUAGCAACUCAUCCCACAGACUAAUUGAGAAUUUGAAGUGUGGCUAGUGUAACUAAGAAGCUUUCAAUAUCUACUCUACAACUGCACUCAAGAUUUUCUACAUUUUUCUUAUUUCUUGGGGUUUAUUAAAAAGAAAAGAAAGAAACUUCACAACAGUGGAAAAGAGGGUUUUAACUUCAAGCCAGAUUUGUGAAGAAGAGAAGGAGGAGAAGAGAGGGAGGAGGAUAGAAGGAAAAGGAGGAGGCAAAGGAGAAAAAGGAGAAGAGUGGUAGAAGGAGGACAAGGAGAAUAAAGAGGUUCUUCAGCUCCCCAAUUAGACUUUGCCUGAUCAGCCUUCCUCUUGCAACCAUUGUAUAAAUGUCUAAAUGGAGCAGGGAUGGUAAGAAGCGCACAAGGUCACUGCUGCUUCUGACGCGUGCCAGUCUCAUCUGUUUAGCGCCUUGAAUUAUACUGCAGUGCCUUUUUCUCUUUUUCUUUUGUCUUCUAGAUCUUCCCACCUUGCUCAACUUUCGGAUUUUAUAGUUGCUACCCUGAAGCCUGAGAACAAAAAGAAUUUCUUUUGGAAAACAAUCUGUUUAAAAACAAGGUUUA